AUCCAGUUGACGUGUCCGAAAUAGGACGAAACGCGCGUCUUGAAU
rnacentral:hammerhead_ribozyme from 1 species